rnacentral:rRNA from 1 species
CCCGGGAAACUGGGGAUAAUUCCGGAUAACGCACAUAUGCUGGAAUGCUUUAUGCGUAAAAUGGAUUCGUCUGCCCAAGGAUGGGUCUGCGGCCUAUCAGGUAGUAGUGGGUGUAAUGUACCUACUAGCCAACAACGGGUACGGGUUGUGAGAGCAAGAGCCCGGAGAUGGAUUCUGAGACAUGAAUCCAGGCCCUACGGGGCGCAGCAGGCGCGAAAACUUUACAAUGCGGGAAACCGUGAUAAGGGGACACCGAGUGCCAGCAUCAUAUGCUGGCUGUCCAGGUGUGUAAAAUACACCUGUCAGCAAGGGCCGGGCAAGACCGGUGCCAGCCGCCGCGGUAACACCGGCGGCCCGAGUGGUGAUCGUGAUUAUUGGGUCUAAAGGGUCCGUAGCCGGUUUGGUCAGUCCUCCGGGAAAUCUGACGGCUCAACCGUUAGGCUUUCGGGGGAUACUGCCAGGCUUGGAACCGGGAGAGGUAAGAGGUACUACAGGGGUAGGAGUGAAAUCUUGUAAUCCCUGUGAGACCACCUGUGGCGAAGGCUUCUUACCAGAACGGGUUCGACGGUGAGGGACGAAAGCUGGGGGCACGAACCGGAUUAGAUACCCGGGUAGUCCCAGCCGUAAACGAUGCUCGCUAGGUGUCAGGCAUGGCGCGACCGUGUCUGGUGCCGCAGGGAAGCCGUGAAGUCAGCCACCUGGGACGUCCGCC